UAUGCUUCUUGGCUCUCUGUGAGUUAAGAUCAAGCGUAGUAUCUGUUCUUAUCAGUUUAAUAUUAUUUUUCUUAAGAUUUUAUAAAAUGGGUACUUAGGAAUUAAGUUCAUUCCUUUUGCUCUUUUUGGACUGGAUUGUGGGGAAGUUGACCCCAUGCAAUCCUUGUUCAAACUCCUCAGUGACA